rnacentral:rRNA from 1 species
UACGUAGGGUGCGAGCGUUGUCCGGAAUUAUUGGGCGUAAAGAGCUCGUAGGCGGCUUGUCGCGUCGGCUGUGAAAACCUGGGGCUCAACUCCGGGCUUGCAGCCGAUACGGGCAAGCUAGAGUUCGGUAGGGGAGACUGGAAUUCCUGGUGUAGCGGUGAAAUGCGCAGAUAUCAGGAGGAACACCGGUGGCGAAGGCGGGUCUCUGGGCCGAUACUGACGCUGAGGAGCGAAAGCGUGGGGAGCGAACAGG